UUCUAUAAAUGUUCAGCUGGAAUCUCAGACCCUUGGGCUGCACUCACCCGGCCUGGCGGUCCUCAGCUGGACCACAGCGUGGGCGCUCCCGACUUCAUUCUCGGCCAUGCACUGGUAGACGCCUUCAUCCUCGGGCCCUACACUGACCACCCGCAGGGCCCUACGGGACAGUCGGAGGCGCUGGCUGGAGAGAGGCCGUGCAGAUAAGAGAAGGCCGAGGAGAAGAAGGCCUACAGAAGACACUCACCGAACACCUGGACGUUGUAGAGGAUGACCGCGGCCCCGGGAUCCCCAACCCCGUUGUCAGCCAUGCAGCGUUCAAUCAAGAAUCGCCUUCUCCUCAGACAUCCACAGUGAAAAGUGAAAGGCCCGAGAUUCUGCUCAAUUGCUAACCGUGGUUACAACCAGCAGGCUGAUUCCUGCUACCCAGGAGCUAUGCAGUCCUCCCCAGUAUCCUCGGAGAUUGGUUCCAGGUGCCCCAGUGGAUACUAAAAUCGGCGGAUG